rnacentral:rRNA from 1 species
GGGAAACUGGGUCUAAUACCGGAUAUGACUUCCUGCUGCAUGGCAGGGGGUGGAAAGAUUUAUCGGUUGGGGAUGGACUCGCGGCCUAUCAGCUUGUUGGUGAGGUAAUGGCUCACCAAGGCGACGACGGGUAGCCGGCCUGAGAGGGUGACCGGCCACACUGGGACUGAGACACGGCCCAGACUCCUACGGGAGGCAGCAGUGGGGAAUAUUGCACAAUGGGCGAAAGCCUGAUGCAGCGACGCCGCGUGAGGGAUGACGGCCUUCGGGUUGUAAACCUCUUUCAGUAGGGAAGAAGCCCCUUUUUGGGGUGACGGUACUUGCAGAAGAAGCGCCGGCUAACUACGUGCCAGCAGCCGCGGUAAUACGUAGGGCGCAAGCGUUAUCCGGAAUUAUUGGGCGUAAAGAGCUCGUAGGCGGUUUGUCGCGUCUGCCGUGAAAGUCCGAGGCUCAACCUCGGAUCUGCGGUGGGUACGGGCAGACUAGAGUGAUGUAGGGGAGACUGGAAUUCCUGGUGUAGCGGUGAAAUGCGCAGAUAUCAGGAGGAACACCGAUGGCGAAGGCAGGUCUCUGGGCAUUUACUGACGCUGAGGAGCGAAAGCAUGGGGAGCGAACAGGAUUAGAUACCCUGGUAGUCCAUGCCGUAAACGUUGGGCACUAGGUGUGGGGGACAUUCCACGUUUUCCGCGCCGUAGCUAACGCAUUAAGUGCCCCGCCUGGGGAGUACGGCCGCAAGGCUAAAACUCAAAGGAAUUGACGGGGGCCCGCACAAGCGGCGGAGCAUGCGGAUUAAUUCGAUGCAACGCGAAGAACCUUACCAAGGCUUGACAUGUUCCAGACCGGGCCAGAGAUGGUCUUUCCCCUUUUGGGGCUGGUUCACAGGUGGUGCAUGGUUGUCGUCAGCUCGUGUCGUGAGAUGUUGGGUUAAGUCCCGCAACGAGCGCAACCCUCGUUCCAUGUUGCCAGCGGGUUAUGCCGGGGACUCAUGGGAGACUGCCGGGGUCAACUCGGAGGAAGGUGGGGAUGACGUCAAAUCAUCAUGCCCCUUAUGUCUUGGGCUUCACGCAUGCUACAAUGGCCGGUACAAUGGGUUGCGAUACUGUGAGGUGGAGCUAAUCCCUAAAAGCCGGUCUCAGUUCGGAUUGGGGUCUGCAACUCGACCCCAUGAAGUCGGAGUCGCUAGUAAUCGCAGAUCAGCAACGCUGCGGUGAAUACG